UUCAGCUCUACCCUUGCGGCUCGUGUUCACUAGCACUUGGCAAAUUGCUGUGUGCCGAUUAGGCUGCCCAGCGUGGCUCGCUUGUGGGCGUGCUGGCAGCAUGCACGCCCACGUUGCAUGCCCACGUUCGAUUGUGCAUCAAUAAUUCAGCGUGGCAGGUUUGUAUGGAGGUCUGGUUAUUAAAUGGUUAAAUAGUUGAAUCCAUUCUCCAUUUCAUUCAUUUAUUCACAGGUAAAUAGUAAUAUGCUCUAAAACGCUCUGGUGACAAACCCACUUUGCUGCCCUGUUUCCAAUCAUCCACAUGGCUGGGAGAACCUAUUCAAGUAGCUAACUAACCGCCAUGGAGGAGGGUGAAAGGAUAGCAGCCCCAACUGUCAAAGUGAGUGAGGAGGCUAUUCUGGAUAGGGCAGGUACUUUUGUGUAGUUCCAGUCCCUAGAAGUGAGGAUGAGGAUAAUAGUAACAUAAUAUUCACUGCGGUCUAAUUUGAGUAUAAUGAAGUAUGUUUCUUGUGAGUUUUCUGUCCUCAGAUACAGAGAGCUGUGAAAGCCUGUCUGCAGAUGAAGAGGUCCAAAUGAAGAGCAGUGGUUCUCAAUCCUGGUCCUGGGGACUCAAAUCGAUACCUUGUAACUGGUGAUUCCUUCAAAACGUUUGCCUACAGUUACUGUGUAGGGCACUGCAAGGUUGGGUGACCAGGGCCAUCUGGGACUGCCUCCUGGGGGAAUUCAGGUGUGUGAAGGCUACCUGUGUCCUGCAUAACUUCCUAAGGAUGGACACGGGGACCAGGAGGGGAUCUGCAACUCGCCAACGCGUGCCACCAAAGGAGAAGACUGCUGCUCUGCAGGAUGUUUCAAGGAUGGGGUCCAACAACGCAGCAAGAGAGGAAACCUAUGUGUGGUAAGUCUUCACCUCCUACUUCUUUGAAGAGUGUGCUGUUCCCUGGCAACACCAUAGACUAUGCACAACCAACGGUUCUUUUAAGAGCCAUUCACAUUGCAAUAAGAGUGUUCUUCCUUUUACUUAGCUAUGUCAACUGCAGUUCUUCAAUUCCCAGUUUCUCGCUCUUUGAUUUCUACUUAUUCAGGUGAGGGAACUGUUUCGGUAAGGGUGGGAUGCCUGUACAAAAACAGGCUAUUUUAAGUCACCCAUAUUGAAAAAAUGUAGAACAAUUAGACACCCUGUAACCCACACCUACACACUCAUGUAUCAAUCUGAUUGACGAACUGUGUCGUGCAGUAAGCAGGCUCAGGUGUAUAACAGUGACUCCUUCCACCUUCAAAGAAUAGGCAAGAGGGCCAACCAUGGAGAAUAGUAAGACACUUCAUUAUUUAUAUAACUAUACUAUAUUGUUUGUCCUCGUGUGUCUGUGCAUGUUUUUCAUCAUAAAGGACUCUGCAGCCACUCUGCAGCCAGUGUGGACAGUAGAUGAGGCCACACACACAGAUUCCUGUUGAACACUGUCUCUUUAACUACCUUAUUUUCUCAAUAACAGUUUCUCUCCUUCACUUUAUCCCUCACUCCCCUUUUCCCUAAAUCCUCUAGGUUAUAUCAGCUGUGUUGGUGAACCCUUCCCGCAUCUGAACUGGCUACAUAGAGUGCACAGCAUGAUCAGAGGGGAGGGGUGAGAGUUCACUUGGUCAGCUCAACAGGAAGUAUUAUUAAAGAGAUGCUCUACGUUGAAAUACAAAUAGAUGUAGUAGUCCCAGAGUUAAUGAUCCAAGGUAUGUUUUGAUGUGAAAGAGGAUGCCAACCCCCAGUCCCGUCAUCGCCACCUCACCCGCUCUUAAGAUAAUCUUCGGGCCGACUGGGAGCCCAAGGCUGGUUAGGAGACACCACUAGAGACACUAUUAUGUAAUUGUGAUGACCUGAGAGAAUAUGAAGUUUAGCAGCACUGUUUAGUAAUCCCUGCUCCUCUGUUCUUACCUCUUUCCCUUUCUGUCUUUUAUGCUCUUUCUCACCUCCUCUUUCUUCUUCUGUUUUUAUAAUGCACACCAGAUGUGCAUUGAAGUACAGAUUUACUUGUAUUUAUGAUAUAACAAUUAUAAUAGUAUAAUGCAUGUAUUAUGUAUUUAUAAAACUUGAAAAUUCUUUCAAUAAAGCGUUUCACAUUCUCGACUGGUUGAAAUUAAGUCUCAUUUGAUGAAAUACUACACCUAUCCAGUGUUUAUCAGAUCAAUACAGAUGAAGGAAAUUAGAUAUUGAGACGAACCGGUUUUAGAGUAUGUCACGAAUAUUACCGAAGGUGACUCCCCUUCUUGUUCGGGUGGCGCUCGGCGGUUGUCGUUGCCGGUCUACUAGCUAUCGCCGAUCCGUUCUGUGUUCGUUUAGUUUUGUCUAA